GGCUAACGCUGGCGGCGUGUCUUAGCCAUGCAAGUCGAGCGGACUUAUGGGGUAACUUAUAAGUCAGCGGCGGACGGCGGAGUAACACGUAGCUAACCUACCCUCUGGACGGGGAUAACCUACCGAAAAGGUGGGCUAAUACCCGAUGUAGUCAUCCUGUAUAGGGGUGAUGAAAGGUGGGCUUCUGUUUACAAGCUCAUGCUGGAGGAGGGGGCUGCGGCCUAUCAGGUAGUUGGUAGGGUAAUAGCCUACCAAGCCGAUGACGGGUAGCCGGCCUGAGAGGGUGACCGGCCCGAGGGGCACUGAGAUACGGGUCCCACUCCUACGGGAGGCAGCAGGCUAGAAAUUUGGGCAAUGGGGGAAACCCUGACCCAGUGACGCCGCGUGCAGGAAGGAGCCCUUCGGGGUGUAAACUGCUGUCGUGUAGGGAGAAGGGUACUAAGGUGAACAAUCUUAGUACUUGACGGUACUACAGGAGGAAGCCCAGGCUAACCUCGUG
rnacentral:rRNA from 1 species